CAAUAGCGUAUAUUAAAGUUGUUGCAGUUAAAAAGCUCGUAGUUGGAUUUCUGGUCGGAAGCUCCUGUCCUCUGAUGAGCGUACAAGUGCGUCCUAUCAUCCUUCUGUUAACCUUUAAGGCUUUCGCGGCUUUCUAGGGGCUCAGAUAUUUUACCUUGAGAAAAUUAGAGUGUUUCAGGCAGGCUAGCGCCGGAAUACAUUAGCAUGGAAUAAUGGAAUAGGACUUUUGCCUCUUCUGUUGGUCAUGAGGCUCGAGUAAUGAUUAAUAGGGAUAGUUGGGGGCAUUAGUACUUAACUGUCAGAGGUGAAAUUCUCGGAUUUGUUAAAGACUAACUUAUGCGAAAGCAUUUGCCAAGGAUGUUUUCAUUAA
rnacentral:rRNA from 1 species